UUGAAAGCGCGAGGGAACAAAUGUCUUGAUUUUAUAAAAAGCCCAUGCCAUAGAAAUAACGUUGAAUCACAUAAUAACAAAUAAAUAAUAGUAAGAAUUACUGUUCCGAAUAAUCGACUUGAUCUGCUAUCAACACUCCUCCCUGGCAUGCGCACUUCCUCAAUUUUACAACAGCAAUAUGGUACCUCCAGUUGUAGUGUCGCCUGUCAUCAAGACUAUCUGAAGCCAAGAGCUGAGGAAGAGAGGCGUGUUGAGGAAGCAGAGAAGAAGAUACGGGAGGAACAGGAAAAAA